AGUCCCGAGCGGCCGGCGGCCGGGGCUCCCCGCCCCUCCCUCCUCUCCGGCGGCGGCGGCGGCGGCGGCGGCGGGCGGAGUGAGCUGCGGAGCCUGGAAUAUGGUCGGGGAAAUGGAAACGAAGGAGAAGCCGAAGCCCACCCCAGAUUACCUGAUGCAGCUGAUGAACGACAAGAAGCUCAUGAGCAGCCUGCCCAACUUCUGCGGGAUCUUCAACCACCUCGAGCGGCUGCUGGACGAAGAAAUUAGCAGAGUACGGAAAGACAUGUACAAUGACACAUUAAAUGGCAGUACAGAGAAAAGGAGUGCAGAAUUGCCUGAUGCUGUGGGACCUAUUGUUCAGUUACAAGAGAAACUUUAUGUGCCUGUAAAAGAAUAUCCAGAUUUUAAUUUUGUUGGGAGAAUCCUUGGACCUAGAGGACUUACUGCUAAACAGCUUGAAGCAGAAACAGGAUGUAAAAUAAUGGUCCGAGGCAAAGGCUCCAUGAGGGAUAAAAAGAAGGAGGAGCAGAACAGAGGCAAGCCUAAUUGGGAGCAUCUCAAUGAAGAUUUACAUGUACUGAUCACUGUGGAAGAUGCUCAAAACAGAGCAGAGAUCAAACUGAAGAGAGCCGUUGAGGAAGUGAAGAAAUUACUGGUACCUGCAGCAGAGGGAGAAGACAGCCUGAAGAAGAUGCAGCUCAUGGAGCUUGCGAUUCUGAACGGCACCUACAGAGACGCCAACAUUAAAUCACCAGCCCUUGCCUUUUCUCUUGCAGCAACAGCCCAGGCUGCCCCAAGGAUUAUCACUGGGCCUGCGCCUGUUCUCCCACCAGCUGCCCUGCGCACUCCUACGCCAGCUGGCCCUACCAUAAUGCCUUUGAUCAGACAAAUACAGACCGCUGUCAUGCCAAACGGAACUCCUCACCCGACUGCUGCAAUAGUUCCUCCGGGGCCCGAAGCUGGUUUGAUCUACACACCCUAUGAGUACCCCUACACGUUGGCACCAGCUACAUCAAUUCUUGAGUAUCCUAUUGAACCUAGUGGUGUAUUAGGUAUGGCUUUCCCAACGAAAGGCUAAGAAUUCAAGAACGGUCUUAACUGAACCCUCAUCAGAUCUGAAUUUAACAAAUGCUUAGUCUCAGCAGCCUCCGUGGGGGGGUUGGGGGGGGAGCUUAGCCUAGCAGUCAGUGACUUACUUGCACUUUUUGCACACUGAUAGAAAGUAAAAGUAUGUUAAUAAUUUGGUUUAGUCUGUAAUCUUACAAAGUAACGGUAAUUUAUAAAGGAGUGUAUAGUAGUAUACUGACUGCUAAGUGUACUAUACUGUUUGCUUUACUAAUCACCUAAUUCAUUGCAGUUCAUACUUAUUGACUCAAAGUUUAAAACCACAAUCUGUAGGCUUUAAGAAUUGCUUUUAAACCUUUUUAAGUGAUAAACUCUGGAAGUGGUCUUAAGGUUAGCAGAUAAUUGUCAGUAUUAAACAUGGCAUUAUUUAAGUGGUCCUGCUGCAAGAAAGGCACUUCAGUGAAUAUGUGAAUAGUAAAGCUUAAAUAUGUUUGGAUCUAAUAGAGUUGAUGAAAUACUGUAACUUGGGAUUGUGAAUGAAUGGAUAAAAUAGGUUAAGGCCAAGAGAUUUGAAAUGAAUGCAAUAUUAAUAGACACAUAUAUACACAACAUGCUAUGGUUAAUUUUAAAACUACUGUGCCUUAACGUGUUUCUUAAAAUGAAACUUUUGUAGUAAAUGAAUAUUUGAAAUCCAUUUUGAUAAACCUGCUGUUAAUGUUUGUUUUUUUUCCCUUGUGAAUGUUUUCUAACUUUGUCUUGGUAAUUGCAAUUUAACUAGGUGCGGUGGCUACUAAAGUUCGAAGGCACGAUAUGCGUGUCCAUCCUUACCAAAGGAUUGUGACCGCAGACCGAGCCGCCACCGGCAACUAACCUAUGACCUUCUGACCUCUGAACUCUUCACCCAAUGAUGACCUGACCAUGCCUGCCUGCUGAUCAGUUAACUGGUAAUCGCCUUUGCUUGCCUGUCGUCAGUGCAGCGAGCUGAGGCACUUGUCCGUUCGUCUUACCAUCUAACCAAACAAAAGACAAAGAAAUUGUUGUCCUCCAGUUCAGCUUUCGGUUUUUCUUUCUGUUUGGGUGAAAGUGGUUCUAGAACCUGCACUGAAUAGUAGUAAAGCAAUAAGGCCCAAUUCAUCCCACAGCACUGAUCAUCUUCUCAUGCCCUACCCUCAGCGAACGGUAAGAAGGCCUCACUUCAGAAGGGGAGACAGAUGGCCCUUAACUACUCAGUGACAGAGGCAGUUACUGUGAGAGACUUCUAGGAACCUUCUUCUCAUAGCGAGUCACAGCUCUCUGAAUGUACUGUGUGAUGAUGCAUCAUGCAUGAACCUUUGGUCAGGGAUGUCAUUGGUGAAGUGAUUU